AGAAAGGUAAGCUAAAUUAAGCUACUAGGUUCAUACCCUACUCAUAGAAGUUGUAAUCUUCUCCUUCCUA
rnacentral:tRNA from 1 species